AUUGAACGCUGGCGGCAGGCCUAACACAUGCAAGUCGAGCGAGCGGCGGACGGGUGAGUAAUGUAUGGGGACUGCCCGAUAGAGGGGGAUAACUACUGGAAACGGUGGCUAAUACCGCAUACUAUCGGAUAACCCAUAUGGGAUUAGCUGGUGGUGGGGGUAAAGGCUCACCUAGGCGACGAUCUCUAGCUGGUCUGCGGGGAUGAUCGGCAAAAUUGGAACGGGGACACGGCCCAGACCCCUACGGAGGGAGGAGAGGGGAAUAUUGGACAAUGGGGGCAAGCCGGAUGCAGCAAUGCCGGGUGUAUGAAGAAGGCCUUAGGGUUGUAAAGUACUUUCAGCGGGGAGGCGUUACCCGAAGAAGAAGCACCGGCUAACUCCGUGCCAGCAGCCGCGGUAAUAC
rnacentral:rRNA from 1 species